GAGCAAAAUAAACAUUAUUUUUUACAUCAACUCAUAAGUUAUGUGAAACUUCCCCAGGAGCAUUGUUAAAAUACUUUGGAGGCACAGAAUCAGCCCAGAGCCAGUCCACAUCCUCAGGCUCAACUGUGAGUGAUGAAUCAGGUCCAUCUCCAUCCUCUACAGUGCUCUCUCACACACCUCCAUCCUCUGUGCCCACUGUCCCCUCUAUGUCUGAAACCACAGCUGAUUUAUCUACAACUUCCACCACAACGUCCCCUUCACGCCAUGGACCAUCAUCAGCUCCGCCAGUUGACCCAGCUGAGUGGCCUUCUUUCCUCUCAGAUUCAGACAGGACUGAGCAGGUGAUCAGAGGAUCACUGUCUAUUAAGGAGAACUUUUCAUUCCCCAAACGGCAUGAUGGCCGAAGUUUUCAUUAUCAUUAUACCUACAGACAGCUAGUCAAUGGGGAAAAAGUCAAGCGUAGCUGGCUGACUUAUUCAAGAAGUAAAGAUGCAGUCUAUUGCUUUUGCUGCAAAUUAUUUUCCAAAAAGUCCUUAAAACUGGCAGCCGAGGAACAGCGGGAUUGGGUCAACAUAGGUGCACUGCUGAAACAGCCUGAAAACAGUGAAGAUCAUUGUAGCAACAUGGUGAAAUGGAAGGAAUUUGCCUUGCGUCUUUCAAAGGGGAAAACUAUUGAUGAAUUUAACUUCAGUAGACUGCGCUCUCUUUGUACAAAGUAAACAUUAAAUAUGAACAAUUAACUAAAAAUAUAAACUAGUAAUUAAAGACUAAUAUGUACAAGACUGAUGAGACAAGAUGACACUUUUACUGUAAAUACAAAGCUUUAUCACUUGGACUGUUCAACCCCAGGCCACCCUUGUAGCUGAAUGUUUUCUACAUUUUAAGAUUAGGAACCAUAUGUGGCACUCUGGACA